rnacentral:rRNA from 1 species
UACGAAGGGGGCUAGCGUUGCUCGGAAUCACUGGGCGUAAAGCGCACGUAGGCGGGUUCUUAAGUCAGGGGUGAAAUCCUGGAGCUCAACUCCAGAACUGCCUUUGAUACUGGGAAUCUCGAGUCCGGGAGAGGUGAGUGGAACUGCGAGUGUAGAGGUGAAAUGCGUAGAGAUCCGGAGGAACACCAGUGGCGAAGGCGACACGCUGGGCCGUACCUGACACUGAUGCGCGACAGCAUGGGGAGCAAACAGG